rnacentral:rRNA from 1 species
UACGAAGGGGGCUAGCGUUGUUCGGAAUCACUGGGCGUAAAGGGCGCGUAGGCGGCUUUAUAAGUCGGGGGUGAAAGCCUGUGGCUCAACCACAGAAUUGCCUUCGAUACUGUAGAGCUUGAGACCGGAAGAGGUAAGUGGAACUGCGAGUGUAGAGGUGAAAUUCGUAGAUAUUCGGAGGAACACCAGUGGCGGAAGGCGGCUCACUGGCUCGGUACUGACGCUGAGGUGGCGAAAGCGUGGGGAGCAAACAGG